rnacentral:misc_RNA from 1 species
AAAGUCGUAACAAGGUUUCCGUAGGUGAACCUGCGGAAGGAUCAUUAGAGAAUCAAAAAGCACAUUCAACGGGCGCUUGCUCCUUGUUUUGUGUCUUUUUCUUCUUUUCACCCUCAGAACGUAUUGUGCACCCGGACCCUCUUCGAAAGCGUUGUUUUCAAACAACUCUUUCUUUUUUUACACGCUCAAUACAUGUCUUGAAUGUUCAAACAAAAGCAUAAAGAGUACAACUUUCAGCAACGGAUCUCUUGGCUCUC